rnacentral:rRNA from 1 species
AUUGAACGCUGGCGGCAGGCCUAACACAUGCAAGUCGAGCGGAGCGGCGGACGGGUGAGUAAUGCCUAGGAAUCUGCCUGGUAGUGGGGGAUAACGUCCGGAAACGGGCGCUAAUACCGCAUACUAUCAGAUGAGCCUAGGUCGGAUUAGCUAGUUGGUGGGGUAAAGCCCUACCAAGGCGACGAUCAGUAGCGGGUCUGAGAGGAGGAUCCGCCAAACGGGGACUGCGACACGGCCCAGAUUCCUACGGGAGGCAGCAGUGGGGAAUGUUGGACAAUGGGCGCAAGCCUUAUCCAGCCAUGCCGCGUGUCUGAAGAAGGCCUUCGGGUUGUAAAGGACUUUUGUCAGGGAAGCGGUACCUGAAGAAUAAGCACCGGCUAACUACGUGCCAGCAGCCGCGGUAAUAC